UACGAAGGGUGCAAGCGUUACUCGGAAUUACUGGGCGUAAAGCGUGCGUAGGUGGUUUGUUAAGUCUGAUGUGAAAGCCCUGGGCUCAACCUGGGAAUUGCAUUGGAUACUGGCAGGCUAGAGUGCGGUAGAGGAUGGCGGAAUUCCCGGUGUAGCAGUGAAAUGCGUAGAGAUGUGGAGGAACACCAGUGGCGAAGGCGGUUGCCUGGAGCUUUGCUGACGCUGAUGCGCGAAAGCGUGGGGAGCGAUCCGG
rnacentral:rRNA from 1 species